rnacentral:rRNA from 1 species
UACGGAGGGGGCUAGCGUUGUUCGGAAUUACUGGGCGUAAAGCGCACGUAGGCGGAUCAGUCAGUUAGGGGUGAAAGCCCAGGGCUCAACCCUGGAACUGCCUUUAAUACUGCUGGUCUGGAGGUCGAGAGGGGUGAGUGGAAUUCCGAGUGUAGAGGUGAAAUUCGUAGAUAUUCGGAGGAACACCAGUGGCGAAGGCGGCUCACUGGCUCGAUACUGACGCUGAGGUGCGAAAGCGUGGGGAGCAAACAGG